rfam:Schistosoma haematobium scaffold163_25, whole genome shotgun sequence.
AUCCAUUUGACAAGUCCCAAACAGGACGAAAUGCGCGUCAAACUGGAC